rnacentral:rRNA from 1 species
AACAGGGGAUUGCCCCAGUAACGGCGAGUGAAGCGGCAACAGCUCAAAUUUGAAAUCUGGUCCCCMGGGCCCSRRKUUGUAAUUUGUAGAGGAUGCUUUUGGCGAGGUGCCUUCCGAGUUCCCUGGAACGGGACGCCAUAGAGGGUGAGAGCCCCGUCUGGUUGGAUACCAAGCCUCUGUAAAGCUCCUUCGACGAGUCGAGUAGUUUGGGAAUGCUGCUCUAAAUGGGAGGUAUAUGUCUUCUAAAGCUAAAUACCGGCCAGAGACCGAUAGCGCACAAGUAGAGUGAUCGAAAGAUGAAAAGCACUUUGAAAAGAGGGUUAAAUAGUACGUGAAAUUGUUGAAAGGGAAGCGUUUGUGACCAGACUUGGGCCCGGUUAAUCAUCCAGCGUUCUCGCUGGUGCACUUUGCCGGCCCAGGCCAGCAUCAGUUCGCGCCGGGGGAUAAAGGCUUCGGGAAUGUGGCUCCUCCGGGAGUGUUAUAGCCCGCUGCGUAAUACCCUGGUGCGGACUGAGGUUCGCGCUCCGCAAGGAUGCUGGCGUAAUGGUCAUCAGCGACCCGUCUUGAAACACGGACCAAGGAGUCGUCUUCGUAUGCGAGUGUUCGGGUGUCAAACCCCUACGCGUAAUGAAAGUGAACGUAGGUGAGAGCUUCGGCGCAUCAUCGACCGAUCCUGAUGUUCUCGGAUGGAUUUGAGUAAGAGCAUACGGGGCCGGACCCGAAAGAAGGUGAACUAUGCCUGUAUAGGGUGAAGCCAGAGGAAACUCUGGUGGAGGCUCGCAGCGGUUCUGACGUGCAAAUCGAUCGUCAAAUAUGGGCAUGGGGG